rnacentral:rRNA from 1 species
AGAGUUUGUUCCUGGCUCAGGAUGAACGCUAGCGGCAGGCUUAACACAUGCAAGUCGAGGGGCAGCGGGGAGGAAGCUUGCUUUCUCCGCCGGCGACCGGCGCACGGGUGAGUAACACGUAUGCAACCUGCCCCUGUCAGGGGGACAACCCGCCGAAAGGCGGGCUAAACCCGCGUACAUGCCACCGGGGCAUCCCGGAGGCAGGAAAGGCUUCGGCCGGACAGGGAUGGGCAUGCGGCGCAUUAGGCAGUAGGCGGGGUAACGGCCCACCUAACCGACGAUGCGUAGGGGUUCUGAGAGGAAGGUCCCCCACACUGGUACUGAGACACGGACCAGACUCCUACGGGAGGCAGCAGUGAGGAAUAUUGGUCAAUGGUCGGGAGACUGAACCAGCCAAGCCGCGUGAGGGAGGAAGGUACAGAGUAUCGUAAACCUCUUUUGUCAGGGAACAAAGACUGGGACGCGUCCCCGGAUGAGUGUACCUGAAGAAAAAGCAUCGGCUAACUCCGUGCCAGCAGCCGCGGUAAUACGGAGGAUGCGAGCGUUAUCCGGAUUUAUUGGGUUUAAAGGGUGCGCAGGCGGUCUGUUAAGUCAGCGGUCAAAGCCCGGGGCUCAACCCCGGCCCGCCGUUGAAACUGGCAGUCUCGAGUUGGAGAGAAGUAUGCGGAAUGCGCGGUGUAGCGGUGAAAUGCAUAGAUAUCGCGCAGAACUCCGAUUGCGAAGGCAGCAUGCCGGCUCCACACUGACGCUGAGGCACGAAAGCGUGGGUAUCGAACAGGAUUAGAUACCCUGGUAGUCCACGCAGUAAACGAUGAAUGCUGGCUGUCCGGGGGGACUGACCCCUGGGUGGCGAAGCGAAAGCGAUAAGCAUACCACCUGGGGAGUACGCCGGCAACGGUGAAACUCAAAGGAAUUGACGGGGGCCCGCACAAGCGGAGGAACAUGUGGUUUAAUUCGAUGAUACGCGAGGAACCUUACCCGGGCUCAAACGGGGAGUGGCGCAGGCAGAGACGCCUGUUUCCCACGGGACACUCCCCGAGGUGCUGCAUGGUUGUCGUCAGCUCGUGCCGUGAGGUGUCGGCUUAAGUGCCAUAACGAGCGCAACCCCCGCGUGCAGUUGCUAACAGUCAACGCUGAGGACUCUGCACGGACUGCCGGCGCAAGCCGCGAGGAAGGCGGGGAUGACGUCAAAUCAGCACGGCCCUUACGUCCGGGGCGACACACGUGUUACAAUGGGUGGUACAGCGGGAAGCCAGGCGGCGACGCCGAGCGGAACCCGAAAUCCACUCUCAGUUCGGAUCGGAGUCUGCAACCCGACUCCGUGAAGCUGGAUUCGCUAGUAAUCGCGCAUCAGCCAUGGCGCGGUGAAUACGUUCCCGGGCCUUGUACUCACCGCCCGUCAAG